rnacentral:rRNA from 1 species
GACAGAGGAUGCAGGCGUUAUCCGGAAUGAUUGGGCGUAAAGCGUCUGUAGGUGGCUUUUUAAGUCCGCCGUCAAAUCCCAGGGCUCAACCCUGGACAGGCGGUGGAAACUACCAAGCUGGAGUACGGUAGGGGCAGAGGGAAUUUCCGGUGGAGCGGUGAAAUGCGUAGAGAUCGGAAAGAACACCAACGGCGAAGGCGGCGAUCUGGGAAGAUACUGACGCUGAGGUGCGAAAGCGUGGGGAGCAAACAGG